CCCGAUUCCUCCUCACUGCGGGUCUAAUCCGAUUCGGGCCUUCCCGCGGACCCCGGCCAGCCUCGCAAUAACAAUCCGCGGCCCGCGCGGCUCGGAGCGAUCGCGCUCCUCGAAGUGGAACGACGACGUUCACGAGCCGCGCGUACGAAUACCGCUGCUCGCGCGAGCGCAGGCAGCGAAGCCACACCACCACCACCAGUCCACCGCCACCAGGCGGUCGCCAUACGAUUCACCGCGCACGUAACAUGAGAACAGCGAACACGAAGAUGCUUCCCCGGGCGGCAGCGGACGAGGAGACGAGAGAGGGAGAGAUGGGGCCGGACCUCCUGGGACUUGGCUUGCUGCCGCCGCCGAUGGCCGGCGGCGGCCACGGAGGUGGUUCAGCGGCGCAGCGACGACCUUAUCAGAAGACGGGAUUCGACGAGCCCCUACGUUUCGCCGCCGACGCCCCUUUGCCGGUGCGCCCGCGGCCCCGGCCAGUGGACGUGGACGACGGCGUCGUCCCUGCAGCAGCACCUCCGGCGAGCAUGCCGAAGCCGCCCGCGUCGUCGACCGCGGCACGGUGGGCGCCAGCUGAGCUAGCGUCGUCCCCGACGAAGGUCUGUGUCCCGGGCCCUUCUCCGAGGAGGAAAGCUGAGACCCAUCUUUUCUGACAAAUCUUAACGAGCCUCUCUCAGCUCGGUUCUUUCAGGGAGAUCUUUCAGGUUCCGUCGACGUUUUGUAGUGAUCAGCUGGCCGCCGGCGAGGGCUGCAGGGCGCAUGCCGUGGCCACGUGCGCCUCGCCGCCGCUCAUGCAAUGCUGUCCCUGCCCCGCCGCAGGCGUGUUGUUUUUUGGCAGCAGGCCGCCGGUUACCGCAGGACUGAUCUUUGAGGACUCCGCCUCCGCGGCAGUAGCACGGAGCACCCAUGACGAUUCCACCGCGCCAACGACGAUAAUCUACGCGGGCUCUGUGUGUGCCUAUGACGGUGCUAUGAUAGAACAGGCCGAGAAGGUCCUGGCUAUGGUAGCAAAGGAGGCUCACGCUGCUGGAAUCCUGUCCGUCCAACGGACAGAGCCGCAGUUAGAACUAGUUGCUGCAAUCACAGGUGGUGCAGCGCAGAUGACAAUGCAUCGGAGAUUGGCUCAUCAUGUCAGCGAUAGUCUUAAGAGAACGGCAUCCCUCGCCCGCUUCCUGGAUAAACGCAAGCAAAGGCAGGAGAAAACUCAUGCCAUUAUUUUUUUUCAAUCUAUGCCAUGCCAUGCCAUACAUUUUAACACGUACUCCCAAUAUGCAAGCAAGCAUCACAAUAUGGCUUGGGGUGGUCUCUAGCAAACGUACUCCUGGUCUCAGAGGGCGGGCGGAGAGUGCAGGGACGAUGCAGCAUCACCCUCGCAGAGAGGAGUGGCGGUUCCCUGCGCAAACAACGGACGCUCCGGCUGCCACGGUUUCCGCGAGAACCAGCGCCUCGCUUGGCGGCAUGGACCGGCGGCCACGGGCCUCCCAAGACCAUCCCAAGAGAAUGAAAGCGAGCCAUGGCGACGAGGCAGUGAGCACUGAGCUGAGGAUCUAGCUGGGGCACAGCAGCCAUCGGAGUUCAAAGAGCUUCUAUGACUCCAGACAAUCCAGGCCAAAUCAUGGAUUUUUACUGUUCUUGGGUUCAUGGAUCCAACCAUCAGAACCCAUUUCCACUUUGUCUAAUCGACGAAAGGCCCUUGGUGUCAGCUAGUAUUUGAACUUUAAGAUCAGCUAACCUGUUGUGCUUGCUUGCUAAUAACAGUAACUAUUAAUUGCUAAUUGCACAUAUUCUCCGGCCGUAAUGCACAGUUUUUUUGGGGCUCA